ACCUGACUGCUAUCGGAUUGAUACUAAGCCAUGCGAGUCAUUGUAGCAAUACAAGGCAUACGGCUCAGUAACGCGUAGUCAACCUAACCUAUGGACGGGAAUAACCUCGGGAAACUGAGAAUAAUGCCCGAUAGAACAUUAUACCUGGAAUGGUUUAUGUUCCAAAUGAUUUAUCGCCGUAGGAUGGGACUGCGGCCUAUCAGUUUGUUGGUGAGGUAAUGGCCCACCAAGACUAUUACAGGUACGGGCUCUGAGAGGAGUAGCCCGGAGAUGGGUACUGAGACACGGACCCAGGCCCUAUGGGGCGCAGCAGGCGAGAAAACUUUGCAAUGUGCGAAAGCACGACAAGGUUAAUCCGAGUGAUUUCUGCUAAAGAGAUCUUUUGUUAGUCCUAGAAACACUAACGAAUAAGGGGUGGGCAAGUUCUGGUGUCAGCCGCCGCGGUAAAACCAGCACCUCAAGUGGUCAGGAUGAUUAUUGGGCCUAAAGCAUCCGUAGCCGGCUCUGUAAGUUUUCGGUUAAAUCUGUACGCUCAACGUACAGGCUGCCGGAAAUACUGCAGAACUAGGGAGUGGGAGAGGUAGACGGUACUCGGUAGGAAGUGGUAAAAUGCUUUGAUCUAUCGAUGACCACCUGUGGCGAAGGCGGUCUACCAGAACACGUCCGACGGUGAGGGAUGAAAGCUGGGGGAGCAAACCGGAUUAGAUACCCGGGUAGUCCCAGCUGUAAACUAUGCAAACUCAGUGAUGCAUUGGCUUGUGGCCAAUGCAGUGCUGCAGGGAAGCCGUUAAGUUUGCCGCCUGGGAAGUACGUACGCAAGUAUGAAACUUAAAGGAAUUGGCGGGGGAGCACCACAAGGGGUGAAGCCUGCGGUUC
rnacentral:rRNA from 1 species